GCACCAUUGCAAGACACAUCCUUCAGAACUUCUCUCCACGUUGGAGGAAGCCAUACAAUCUCAGUCCAAAGCAAAAUCAACAAAGGAAGAAGGGAGGACCAGAACCAGAAACCACAAUGGGUCAUCCUGUGCCUGUCGUUACCAGAAUAAGACCUGGGAGUCACCGAGCUCAGAGCCCACUGCCCUGCCCACAGCAGCAUGGUCAGCGGCUCUCACCUUCCUCCCCUCCCCCUCCCGGCUCGCACGCCUCCUUGCUCCUCUCCCUGCCAUCUGGAGAUUAGGGGUAAGUAUGCCAGCAUGCCUCAGGGCUUUUCUUCUGUGGGUGUGUAUGCGUGUGCGUGUGUUUCAGGACUCAAAAUGCUUCAGAGAUCACAGUGAUGACGAAGGUGGGACGGUCACUGCUCUCUGGAGCGAGCCUGGCCUCGACUCAACAUUCCAUUCACUGUGCUCAGCGGGCUGCAGACGCCUGUCUUCGUAAGCCUCCCAGCGACCCUAUGGGGUAGCCAUUACACCCUAGUACACCCGUUUCACAGGUUAAGGAGACUUAGGGGAAGAGGUUUGAUUGAGAUCCCUGAACCUGUGAAAGCAGAGCCGUGACUGGAGUGCAGAGAUGGGAUUUUUCCACCUUCCGUGUUGGGUUUUCGACGUAGCCCCGUCAAGCAUUCACACUCUUCACUCGCCCAUUCCUUUCCUAACGUAACAACAAGAGUAUCUUGAAAUCAAGUCUCUUUCCCUUCCAAGGGUUUCUCAGAUCCUGGGGAAUGGGGAAUGCCGUCCCCUCGGUAUAGAGGCUGCUGAAGGCUGCUUCGUCCACUGGUCCUGCCUUCUCCUUACUUGGUCCAGGCGACGGGUCACCCUAAACACGACUUCUUUCCCCCCUGCCCUCCCGCCUCCUGACUCCACUACAGCCAGAGCUGAAUACCGAUCGCUUUGCUGAGAACAGAACAGCAGGGAUUGAGAUUGGCUGUUGGACUUGACUGUUGAGAAAUCUGUCGAUGAGACCCCAGAGCGGAGUGGAUUUCAGUGCAGGGGCCCCGGAGCCCACGUCCUGGCUCCAGCACCGCGAGUUCCUAAAGGCGGGGCCCUCCUGCGACCUUCCCGUGGCCUCCGGGCUGAUCCAUUCCCGCGUCUGUUCGGAUGGGUCAGGUUCUGUUGCUGUCUCUUCUGAGUAUUUGCUACCAACAUCCCGCAGGUGGUUAAACGUUUGACUGUCGCUCUCCUAAUCGGUGCGUAAAUUCCAGCCCGUUACUUAAGCAUUUUUGUGCCUCAGUAUCCUCAUCUUUUUGCCUGAGACAAAAGAUGGGAUUGGGGUAGGGGAGGCUACUUAUCUCAAUGACUGGCAUCUGAAGCUAGCUAGCGGGGCGCCAGGGUGGCUCAGUCGUAAGGUGUCUGUCUGUCUGCCUUAGGCUCAGGUCAUAAGCCCGGGGUCCUGAGAUCAAGCCCCGCAUGGGGCUCCCUGCUCCACGGGAGGCAUGCUUCUUCCUCUCUCACUCCCCCUGCUUGUGUUCCUGCUCUCGCUGUUUCUGUCUCUCUCUCUCUCUCUCUGUCAAAUAAAUAAAUAAAAUCUUAUAAAUAAAUAAAUAACUAGAGGGAAGCUUAGAAAGUGAGAGAGCUCACAUUGAUACUGACGUAGACAAUCAUUCAUAAAAACCCAACACCUAUGGAGUAGGACUGGGCCCUCGAUGGCGCCAUAAAAAACAA